UUUUUUUUUUUUUUUUGUCUUUUUGCUAUUUCUUGGGCCGCUCCCACGGCAUAUGGAUGUUCCCAGGCUAGGGGUCGAAUCGGAGCUGUAGCCACUGGCCUACACCAGAGCCAUAGCAACGUGGGAUCCCAGCCGCGUCUGAAACCUACACCACAGCUCACAGCAACACUGGAUCCUUAACCCACUGAGCAAGGGCAGGGACCGAACCCGCAAACUCAUGGUUCCUAGUCGGAUUCGUUAACCACUGCGCCACCACGGGAACUCCGCAGUUAACAUUUUUGAUUCCGCCAGGGCUUCCCGAGCUUUCAGCUCUCAUCUGCUCCCGACGAUGGGCAGGCUUCUCAACUGGGAGCACAGCCCUUUGGGACCUGGUCCCACCAGCCUUGUUCUUCUUCUGUGAAUUCACUUCCCAGGCCUGGGUGCUCCAUGCAGCACCCUCUCUCCACCAGUUCUGCUUAUUUAUUUAUUUAUUUUGCUUUUUAGGGCCGCACCCACAACAUAUGGAAGUUUCCAGGCUAGAGGACGAAGGAGAGCUGCAGCUGCCAGCCUAUGUCACAGCCACAGCACCGCAGGACCUGAACAGCAUUUGCAACCUAUGCCACAGCUCAUGGCAACGCCAGAUCCCCGACCCACUGAACGAGGCUGGGGAUCAAACCUGCAUCCUUAUGUGUCUUAGUUGGGCUGGUACUGCUGAGCCACAACAGGAACUUCCAUCCACCAGUGCCUUUCUCCACCACUUCUGCCUGGAAGCCACCUUGUGUCUAUUCUGCCCUAAAGCAGCCCACCCUCCACAUCACACCCCUGCCAGGACUCAGCCCGACCUCCAGAGUGAUGACUCCCCUGUCCUUCACAUGCUCCGCUCACGCUCCCUGGCGCCCAGCUGGGUCUUCCUUCAGGGUGUUUUCUCCACCAUCCCCACCCCCAGCCAUGUCCCAAGUCAUCUCAGAUGUGGUCAGGUCACAUCCAGAACAGGUGACACUGGCCACAUGUGGAUCCAUGUUCCCGAAUAUUGAAAGCAGCAGGAGCCUACGCUCUUGCCAUCCCCCCGAGUGACCUGUGUGCUGUGCCCUCAGGCUACCUCUUCUCUGCAAGCCUUCUGUGCAUCCUCGGUGGCUUUUCAGAUGAAGACCAAGUCCCUGCUGUGGCUCCCCAGGGCCUGUGGGACCUGCCUCAUUUCAGCCCAGCUCCCCUGGCCUUCCUAUAAUUCCUCCUUCCCUUCCACAGCUUGCCUUUUGCUCACUCCUAGAUGUCUUCUGCUGGAUGGCUUUGUCCCUUCCCAUGUUCGCUAGGCUCUUGCCCAGUCAUUCUUUGGGAAUCAAUCAACUCAAAUCCUUCUCAUUGGGGAAACCUUCCCUGACCCGCCAAAUGAGGUCAGAGACAUGGGUGUCUGGAGCUCUAUGUACCUUGAUGAACAAACACUUUGUAGCACCUCACAGGGUUUUUAAUUUCCUGCUUGAUUGUGUGGCUAUGUGAGGAAUUUCAUCUUGUCUCCUGGGGAAGACAGGCACUGUAGUGGAUACUGUGGUGUGUGACAUAUAGACUGUUUUAGGACUACAUGACUCAUGUCCCAGCUACUGGGGUUCUUGGCCAGGGCUGGCACAGAUCUGCAUCCCUUUCUGGGAAUUGCUCUUGCUUGAAGGAAGCUUCCCAGCCCAAAGUGACUCCCCUUAGAAGUCCCACAUAGUGACUGAGACUGGGGAUAUAAAGGCCUGGUCCCCUCACCUCAACCCGGGACAUCUCUGAUGGGUUACCCUGCAUUCAGCAUUCCCCAUGGGAUUGACUGAUGCUGUUUUUGUGACUGCACCACAGUUCAGCUUCUCCCUCUGCUCAGUCUUUCUCCUCUUGCUCCUUUGCAGGUGAUGUUCCUGAAAGCGCUCCUUAAUAAACUUCCUGCAUGGACAUCUUAUUCCAGGGCCCCUUACCUGGAAACCCAUUAACCACUGUUCAUGGAGUGGUCCUAAGACACAGAUUCUAGAAAAGGAUUUUGGAGCUGGAUCUCUUGCUGGCUGACUGGCAGUGAAGACUCCAUCACUAGUAUUAGGUGUAUGAGGAUGGCCAGUUGGCAGGCUGCAGCGGGGUGAUUGUUAAACCUUUUGCUGGUGGUGAAAUGGGAUGGGAUAGUGGAGAAGAAGAUGCACUGGCAGGUGCAAUUUCUCAGGUGAGGAGGGAGGUGGUAGUAAUUAGAAGUAUUAUGGAAUUGGAUGCUUGUCGCUGGGGGCAAACGAUGCACUACAGAGAGACAAUGCAAGGCUAGGGGUGACUAAGCACCCAUUAAAGGCUAGGUGUGAAGACCAGAGGGCAACCUAUAAAGAGACUCAUCCUCCUGGAAGGUAGACAAGUUGAGGAUCAGGCCCAGGUCUUAAUUAUAAGAGCAGUAGAGUGAUCCAGAACAAGCUGAGCCCUCAAAGCCUCCAGAUAUGCUCUGCCAGGGUCAGAUCCCUAAUUAGGAUGGAGUGGGAUGCAUCAGAGUUCAGCAUCUCCCUCUGUCCAAUCCCACCUCCCUUGUUUUCCUAAGUUAGAUUUGACUGCUGGUGAAACCAGGUGGUUCACCUCAGGUCAGCCACCUGGACCCAUCAGAGAUGCUGGCCAACAAUAACAGGCAUACAGGACAGGUAGUGGAGGACUGAGCGUUAAGUCUUAAAUGAGGCACUGUACCAGGGCAGCAGCAGUCACUGUAGUUUGUCCCACUAACCUUCCUCUCAUCAUUUUUUUUUCCCAGGAAAAAUAGACCAACCAGAAUCCUGGAGUAACUGUUGCCAGAUGGGAUUGAGCUUAGGAUACAAAGCUAGUGGGUCCAAGUGGUUCAGGGGGUGGACUGUAGUGGAUACUGUGGUGAACUGCCCAGAUGCCACUUCAAGGCAGGGACCC
ensembl:lncRNA